CAUUUCCUGCGUUCUCAGCGUUUGGACGGUGCGAGUGUCGUUGUGUGGGCCGACGUCGGUGCAUGGGCUACCGUUUGGGCCUAGCCCGCUGCUGCGACGCGUGUAGAGUUGGGCUCCUCUAUUCUCCCAUUUCUCCCCGUGAGUGCGUGCUGCCUAGGUGAAUUUCUGGGAGUUUGACCGAGCGCAUUCUCGAUCUCUGCCGAUGUUCCUGCCGGCGGCUCUGCUCUCGAUUCUGACCGCUCCUUCCUCUCCGCUGGCGUAUCUUUCCUGCUGCGGCGGCUCUGCUUUCGAUUCUGGCCGAUACUCCCUCGCCGCUGGCGGAUCUUGCCUGCUGCCGUGCUCAGCUGGUUCUUGCUUCUGCGAUUUUGGUUUGGAAGGGGCGUUUCUCUCGCCGGUUCACUUCCCGUGUUCGUUAAUUCUUCCUGAUCUUUUCCCCCUUUUUUCCCGAUUGCUCUGCACUUAUCUCUGUUGUCUUCUUCAUCCCAGGCUAUCCUCCGGCCUAGGGUUCUCGACCACAGACCCCGGCAGCUCUCCCGCACGCUGGAUCGGUCGCACAAACCCUCCUUCCCACUCGCAUCUCUAGGUCGUCGGCUGUUUGAUAACGCUGCAGUCACGUGAUCCCAUCGUCUUCUCCAUCUUUGUCGGGUCAACGCCGCCGCGAACAGGUCACGGGGUCCGUGGACGCCCGCCGCCGCGAGACAAGGGCAAGAACGACCAUCUUGGCCUCGCGGUGGGGGGCGGCGGCGAGAACCUGCUGACUGGAGGGUGGCGGCCAGCGGAGUGGACAGCACCCGUUGGGUGGUCUGCAUCCUCUGUUUAUUGGAUGCUGCUGGACCUCGGGUUGGUGACGAUGCACUCCAGGAUCCUUGCUGCGCUUCACAUGGUGAGUACGCCUGCUUGCCUGUGCGAAUCCAGCUGUUAGCCAAAUUGGCGAGGAACUGAAGGAUGUGUUGUGUUGGGUGACUUAGGAAGCUGAAAACUUAUUAAAAAUUUCCGGAUAGAUCAAGAAUCUCAUAGUAAUGCAUCCUUAACUGCUCAUCCAUGGAUUUCUGAUAAGAUCCUACAUCUAGAUAGAUAGCUACUCAAUUUGUGCAGCUGCGGUUUGCUCUAAUUGCGGCGAAGGUUUGUCUUCCCUAUUUUUCUUCCAUUUUCACAUCCUGAUUUUUGUUCAAAUAUCGCUUGUUACUGCUAUCUACGACCUGUUAGUUCUAAUUUUGUACAAUCAAAUUGCUAUCUGUUGAUCAUUUAUAUUUCAAAUUUCUUUUGGUUUAUAACAUUCUUUUGACCUCACAAUUGGAGAUUUUCUUUGUGAUUUGGUUUACUUCGUGCUGCUAAUUAUUCGUUUGUAUGAGUUGAUAUUUUUUGAAAAAUGAAAUCAUCCUCUUAAAUGUAAUGCACAAUGAGUACAGUGGAACCCGUAGAGCAUGAGGUUCAUUUUUACAUGAUACAGUCCCGUACAUGAGUUAUUACUCCAAGCAGCAUGUGGGAUUAGCUUGAAGUGAAGAUAGUCCAAGAACUGCAUGACGUUGAUCAUCAUUAGGUGUUAUGGAGAAUGCUCCUACAAUCAAUAAUGUUAUUGUUCUGUAGUAGCGAGGAACUAAAUUUGCUUAUCUGAUUUACGAGGUCAGUUACUCCUGAAUUGAUCACCAUUUUUUUAGGAUUUAACUCAAUGUUGUAGUGGUUGUAGUGAUGCAGUAGGACCCAUGCAAUUCACGAUACAUGCUACAUGAGUAGAAUUCAGCAGAGAAUGGUUUGUUUUCAUGGUUCCCAUUUUUGUAUCUCGAUAAAUAUGUGGGUCGGAAAUGCAGUGGAACUCCUGAAGAUGAACAAAAUUUUAAAGGAAUUAAGAGCCUUACUCAUUGUGCAUUACAUUUGUCUACAUACUUUAUUCUCCAUCAAUCUUCCAUCAGAUUAUUUAGAUUUUAGGUAUGUUCUCAACUUAUUGGGGAGAUGCAAGGUAACAUGGGAACGCUAAAGCUAAGGUUCUACAUAACUCGAAUAAAUUGCCGGUUCAACACCAUGUGCUCUCUGUAGCAAUAUGAUAUAUGUUCUUUUGCAGUUACUAUUUGAUAACAUCACCGCGCUUGAUAUUCUGUCAGCAUCCUAUGCAUGUGUUUAUUCAGUUAUUACAGCAAGAGCAAUAUAGGCUUGAAAGAAUGGUAUUUAUAUAUUAGUCAACAUUUAAAUUAUUAUGCCAGCUUUAACCUUUGUUUAUGGACUUUUCACCAUCCGAGAUUUUCUUAUCUAAGUCCAACUAUCUCAAAUCUUUCAAAACUCUAAAUAACAAAAGGAAACAUGUAUGUCUUUUCCUAAGUAGGAUUUUAAUGUCCAAUGAGAUGAGUUCAUGUUUUCAAGUGUUUUAAAAAUCUGGCGUAGGUGCCUUGGAAGUAUCAAGUAGUAUGUCCUGAAUUCGACCAUUGGCAUCCGUCUGUCGAUGUAUGAUUUGGUGUUUAAAUCUAUAAAAAAUGAACUAUGAAAUAAUCUGAUUCUAUAUGUUUCAGAGGUAUUCUACAUGCAGUUUAUUUUAGCGGUCCGCUCCGUAGCCUGUAGGCUUGUGUCCCCGAUGAUGUAUUCAGGGGCUCAUGUGAGCGCCUUUGGCGACAGCCGACAGGGUCUGAGUUUUACUUGGAUGGCAUCAGACUCUGGCUUAGCUUGUCAGACCGGUCUUUGUGGUUGUUUGAUCGUAGGUGUGUGUAGGGAUUUUGUUUUGUCGUCCAUGCCUAGAGGCUUGGGGUUCACGUGGUCGUUGAUGGUAGUAAGUGCCGGAGCUUGGGCUGAAAGAAUGAUUGGGGGGGGGGGGGGGGGGGCAAACAGUACUUUUGCAAGGCCUCCCUUCGUUAGAAGCCCAUGGGCUGGGGGGGCGAUGGCCCUCCCUGACUUUGCCAUAGCUCCGCAAGUGAUGGUAGUGGUUUCAAGGUUGCCAGUGGUGUGGGUCAGUGUGUUCUUUUCCAUCAUAUGGUCUGUCAUUCAUUAGUUUGUCUUUUGAUCUCAGGUUUUUUUACACUACUUUGUUGCCAAUCCUAUUUGUGUUCUGUUGUGGUAUAUUGGGUGUUUUUAGUCACCUAGCAAGAUAACGAAAGGAAGUGGCUACCGACGCAGUUGAUCAGUUAAGAUCAUGCACUCACCUCUUCAGAUCAUGUCUUCUCUUUUAUUUGUGUUCCUGCUCUAUGCAUGAUCUGAGAUAAUGGUAUAUGCAAGUUAGAUGAGAAACAACAUUUUGGUAGUAUCUUUGUUGGGGCAUUAUUAGAUUAAUGCAAAGGUAUAUGACCAGCUUCAUAUGGAUUUCAGAAUUUCGUACAUGCUAAAAGAAUAUAAAUUUCUCUGUUCAUUGUUGUUGCCUCAGCCAGCAACAUGGGCUAAGUAGGAUGUUAUUUAUGUAGGAUUAAGUGAUUCUUCAAACAGAUCAUGGUUUGAAACUUUUAUUUUUUUCAAAUCUAUCUUUGGAACUUAUUGACUCAUAACAAUCUGCAACUGAUGCUCUAAUAUAUCCCAAUUAUUUUGGAAGAAGCAGAGGAUAAAAGAGAAAGCAAUACAUCUGGAAGCUCCUGGCCGCCCGCCACAGAAAAGUGCCUUUGGAGAAAGCCCCGGCUGCCAUUGCCCAUGUCUCAGCAGCAAAAGAUAAAACGAAAGUAGACUGCGUGAGACCAGAGCUGGCAUACCUGAAGGUAAACGUUGAUGCUAUCUGUAGGAAGGAUUGCCAGACAGCAUGGGGGUCAGUUAUUAGAGACCAUCAUGGCCUGAUUGUGUUUUCAGCCUGGAACUUCAUACCGCACUGUCAAUCUGUAGCUGUUGGAGAAGCUAUUGCAUGCCUGGAGGUACCCAAGAUGGUGCUAGCAAUUUCCUCAAACAAUCUGCUGAUCCUAGAAAUUUAAUGUCUCAGUUAUGGAGCCUUUUCAAGACCAGAGCAUUGACAAGUCUGAAGCUGGGCUGAAUGCAAAAGAAUUUUAAGGUUAGCAGAAUUUGUAAUUCAGUGGCUCAUGAACUAUGUCAGUUCAGGCUUAGGGACUUGUGUGGUAGUGUGAUUCAAGGUGCAGUUCCGACCUGUGUGUUGAGAACGGCUCUGAAAGAUUGUAAAUGUGACUCUUAUACUUAUUUAAACCCCUUUCAAUAAAAGCUCUCUCAAAAACAAAA